CGGCAACAGCUCAAAUUUGAAAUCUGGCGCAAGCCCGAGUUGUAGUCUAGAGAAGCAUCAUCCGUGCUGGACCAUGUACAAGUCUCUUGGAACAGAGCGUCAUAGAGGGUGAGAAUCCCGUCCUUGACAUGGACUCCCAGUACUUUGUGUUGUGCUCUCAAC
rnacentral:rRNA from 1 species